rnacentral:rRNA from 1 species
UUAAGCGACUAAGCGUACACGGUGGAUGCCCUGGCAGUCAGAGGCGAUGAAGGGCGUGCUAAUCUGCGAUAAGCGCCGGUAAGGUGAUAUGAACCGUUAUAACCGGCGAUACCCGAAUGGGGAAACCCAGUGUGACUCGUCACACUAUCAUUAACUGAAUCCAUAGGUUAAUGAGGCGAACCGGGGGAACUGAAACAUCUAAGUACCCCGAGGAAAAGAAAUCAACCGAGAUUCCCCCAGUAGCGGCGAGCGAACGGGGAGGAGCCCAGAGCCUGAAUCAGCAUGUGUGUUAGUGGAAGCGUCUGGAAAGGCGCGCGAUACAGGGUGACAGCCCCGUACACAAAAGCGCAUGUGCUGUGAGCUCGAUGAGUAGGGCGGGACACGUGGUAUCCUGUCUGAAUAUGGGGGGACCAUCCUCCAAGGCUAAAUACUCCUGACUGACCGAUAGUGAACCAGUACCGUGAGGGAAAGGCGAAAAGAACCCCGGCGAGGGGAGUGAAAAAGAACCUGAAACCGUGUACGUACAAGCAGUGGGAGCACCCUUUGGGGUGUGACUGCGUACCUUUUGUAUAAUGGGUCAGCGACUUAUAUUCUGUAGCAAGGUUAACCGUAUAGGGGAGCCGGAGGGAAACCGAGUCUUAACCGGGCGUUAAGUUGCAGGGUAUAGACCCGAAACCCGGUGAUCUAGCCAUGGGCAGGUUGAAGGUUGGGUAACACUAACUGGAGGACCGAACCGACUAAUGUUGAAAAAUUAGCGGAUGACCUGUGGCUGGGGGUGAAAGGCCAAUCAAACCGGGAGAUAGCUGGUUCUCCCCGAAAGCUAUUUAGGUAGCGCCUCGUGAAUUCAUCUCCGGGGGUAGAGCACUGUUUCGGCUAGGGGGCCAUCCCGGCUUACCAACCCGAUGCAAACUGCGAAUACCGGAGAAUGUUAUCACGGGAGACACACGGCGGGUGCUAACGUCCGUCGUGAAGAGGGAAACAACCCAGACCGCCAGCUAAGGUCCCAAAGUCAUGGUUAAGUGGGAAACGAUGUGGGAAGGCCCAGACAGCCAGGAUGUUGGCUUAGAAGCAGCCAUCAUUUAAAGAAAGCGUAAUAGCUCACUGGUCGAGUCGGCCUGCGCGGAAGAUGUAACGGGGCUAAACCAUGCACCGAAGCUGCGGCAGCGACACUGUGUGUUGUUGGGUAGGGGAGCGUUCUGUAAGCCUGUGAAGGUGGCCUGUGAGGGUUGCUGGAGGUAUCAGAAGUGCGAAUGCUGACAUAAGUAACGAUAAAGCGGGUGAAAAGCCCGCUCGCCGGAAGACCAAGGGUUCCUGUCCAACGUUAAUCGGGGCAGGGUGAGUCGACCCCUAAGGCGAGGCCGAAAGGCGUAGUCGAUGGGAAACGGGUUAAUAUUCCCGUACUUGGUGUUACUGCGAAGGGGGGACGGAGAAGGCUAUGUUGGCCGGGCGACGGUUGUCCCGGUUUAAGCGUGUAGGUGUGUGUUCCAGGUAAAUCCGGUUCACUUUAACACUGAGGCGUGACGACGAGGCACUACGGUGCUGAAGCAACAAAUGCCCUGCUUCCAGGAAAAGCCUCUAAGCAUCAGGUAACAUCAAAUCGUACCCCAAACCGACACAGGUGGUCAGGUAGAGAAUACCAAGGCGCUUGAGAGAACUCGGGUGAAGGAACUAGGCAAAAUGGUGCCGUAACUUCGGGAGAAGGCACGCUGACACGUAGGUGAAGUGAUUUACUCACGGAGCUGAAGUCAGUCGAAGAUACCAGCUGGCUGCAACUGUUUAUUAAAAACACAGCACUGUGCAAACACGAAAGUGGACGUAUACGGUGUGACGCCUGCCCGGUGCCGGAAGGUUAAUUGAUGGGGUCAGCGCAAGCGAAGCUCCUGAUCGAAGCCCCGGUAAACGGCGGCCGUAACUAUAACGGUCCUAAGGUAGCGAAAUUCCUUGUCGGGUAAGUUCCGACCUGCACGAAUGGCGUAAUGAUGGCCAGGCUGUCUCCACCCGAGACUCAGUGAAAUUGAACUCGCUGUGAAGAUGCAGUGUACCCGCGGCAAGACGGAAAGACCCCGUGAACCUUUACUAUAGCUUGACACUGAACAUUGAGCCUUGAUGUGUAGGAUAGGUGGGAGGCUUUGAAGUGUGGACGCCAGUCUGCAUGGAGCCGACCUUGAAAUACCACCCUUUAAUGUUUGAUGUUCUAACGUGGACCCGUAAUCCGGGUUGCGGACAGUGUCUGGUGGGUAGUUUGACUGGGGCGGUCUCCUCCUAAAGAGUAACGGAGGAGCACGAAGGUUGGCUAAUCCUGGUCGGACAUCAGGAGGUUAGUGCAAUGGCAUAAGCCAGCUUGACUGCGAGCGUGACGGCGCGAGCAGGUGCGAAAGCAGGUCAUAGUGAUCCGGUGGUUCUGAAUGGAAGGGCCAUCGCUCAACGGAUAAAAGGUACUCCGGGGAUAACAGGCUGAUACCGCCCAAGAGUUCAUAUCGACGGCGGUGUUUGGCACCUCGAUGUCGGCUCAUCACAUCCUGGGGCUGAAGUAGGUCCCAAGGGUAUGGCUGUUCGCCAUUUAAAGUGGUACGCGAGCUGGGUUUAGAACGUCGUGAGACAGUUCGGUCCCUAUCUGCCGUGGGCGCUGGAGAACUGAGGGGGGCUGCUCCUAGUACGAGAGGACCGGAGUGGACGCAUCACUGGUGUUCGGGUUGUCAUGCCAAUGGCACUGCCCGGUAGCUAAAUGCGGAAGAGAUAAGUGCUGAAAGCAUCUAAGCACGAAACUUGCCCCGAGAUGAGUUCUCCCUGAGACUUAGAGUCUCCUGAAGGAACGUUGAAGACGACGACGUUGAUAGGCCGGGUGUGUAAGCGCAGCGAUGCGUUGAGCUAACCGGUACUAAUGAACCGUGAGGCUUAACCUU